rnacentral:miRNA from 1 species
UGUGUGUGUGUGUGUGUGUGUGUGUGUGUGUGUAUGUAUGUAUAUAUAUACACACACAUACAUACAUACAUAUG